rnacentral:rRNA from 1 species
GUAGGUGGCAAGCGUUGUCCGGAAUUAUUGGGCGUAAAGCGCGCGCAGGUGGUUCUUUAAGUCUGAUGUGAAAGCCCCCGGCUCAACCGGGGAGGGUCAUUGGAAACUGGGGAACCUGAGUGCAGGAGAGGAAAGUGGAAUUCCACGUGUAGCGGUGAAAUGCGUAGAUAUGUGGAGGAACACCAGUGGCGAAGGCGACUUUCUGGCCUGUAACUGACACUGAGGCGCGAAAGCGUGGGGAGCAAACAGGGAUUAGAUACCCUGGUAGUCCACGCCGUAAACGAUGAGUGCUAAGUGUUGGGGGGGUUUCCGCCCCCGUCAGUGCUGCAGCUAACGCAUUAAGCACUCCGCCCUGGGAGUACGGUCGCAAGACUG